rnacentral:rRNA from 1 species
GACGAACGCUGGCGGCGUGCUUAACACAUGCAAGUGGAGCGACGAACCAGGGCUUGCCCUGGGGCAGAGCCGCGAACGGGUGAGUAACACGUGGGUAACGUGCCCCGAUGACUGGGGCAACCCGGGGAAACCCGGGCUAAUACCGGAUGUGCCCCCUCACAUCAGUGAGGUGUGUAAAGGAAGCUUCGGCCUCCGCAUCGGGAUCGGCCCGCGGCCCAUUAGCUUGUUGGUGAGGUAACGGCUCACCAAGGCUGCGAUGGGUAGCUGGUCUGAGAGGACGAUCAGCCACACUGGGACUGAGACACGGCCCAGACUCCUACGGGAGGCAGCAGUGGGGAAUCUUGCGCAAUGCGCGAAAGCGUGACGCAGCAACGCCGCGUGGGGGAAGACGGCCUUCGGGUUGUAAACCCCUUUCAGUUGGGACGAAGGUCGGGCGGUUAACAGCCGUUCCGGCUGACGGUACCUUCACAAGAAGCCCCGGCUAACUACGUG